GGUAGAGUGGCUGAAUAUCACAAGCAUUAGACUGUAAAUCUAAACAUAAAGGUAUAAUCCUUUCUCUGCCA
rnacentral:tRNA from 1 species